rnacentral:rRNA from 1 species
CAGCAGCCGCGGUAAUACGUAGGGUGCGAGCGUUAAUCGGAAUUACUGGGCGUAAAGCGUGCGCAGGCGGUUUUGUAAGACAGGCGUGAAAUCCCCGGGCUCAACCUGGGAAUGGCGCUUGUGACUGCAAAGCUAGAGUGCGGCAGAGGGGGAUGGAAUUCCGCGUGUAGCAGUGAAAUGCGUAGAUAUGCGGAGGAACACCGAUGGCGAAGGCAAUCCCCUGGGCCUGCACUGACGCUCAUGCACGAAAGCGUGGGGAGCAGACAGGAUUAGAUACCCCCGUAGUCCCUGUCUCUUAUAC